CGGAAGGAUGGCAGAGUGGACUAUUGCGGCUGUCUUGAAAACAGCUGGGUGAUGAGCCCCGGGGGUUCGAAUCCCUCUCCUUCCGU
rnacentral:tRNA from 1 species